rnacentral:lncRNA from 1 species
CAGCCCUCCUGCUUGUGUUCAUGCCUGAGCGCUUCCCAGGGGGCAGCAGCAGUGCCAUGCCUUUCAUCUGCUCUGCUCAUAGAGCAUUUCACUGCGCAUAGAUCAGCACGUACUGCUGCAUCUGCAGCUGGCUGCAAAGCAAGUGGCAAUCUGUUACUCACCGCCGCUCAUGGGUCUUUAUCCUACAAAAUGCUUCAAGAGGUGUUACAGAGCCUGC